CCCCAACCCAGCCCUGAAAAUCCUGAAUGGAGCAUCCCCUCUCUUUCUGAGGAUGAGGCUCGGGAGGCAUUCAAGAAAUUUGUGUCAUCUCAUAUCUGCUACAGUGAAGAUCCAGUCACUCAGGGAGUCAUCACCUCCAUGGAGCCAUUCAACACAUUUAGGUACCGUCUGGAGACAUUCACUGAGUCCAGGUCAACUGACUGGGCCCACAAACCACAUGAAGGUGAGCCUGCUGACUUUUACACCCAGCCCGCUCCACGACCAUGGGAGGUCCAGGCCACACCCCCCAAACAUUUCAGUGACCACACAGAGAAGAUCCGGGUGCCCUACACGUCCUCC